CUGGUAGUUCAGCCGGUUAGAACGCUAGCCUGUCACGCUAGAGGUCAUGGGUUCGAGUCCCAUUCA
rnacentral:tRNA from 1 species